rnacentral:rRNA from 1 species
UACAGAGGGGGCAAGCGUUGUUCGGAAUUACUGGGCGUAAAGGGCGCGUAGGCGGCCUGCUAAGUCGAACGUGAAAUCCCCGAGCUCAACUCGGGAACUGCGUCCGAUACUGGCAGGCUUGAAUCCGGGAGAGGGAUGCGGAAUUCCAGGUGUAGCGGUGAAAUGCGUAGAUAUGACUCGGAAGGCCAACGGCGAAGGCAGGUUACUGGUACGCAACUGACGCUGAGGCACGAAAGCGUGGGGAGCAAACAGG